UACGGAGGGUGCAAGCGUUAUCCGGAUUCACUGGGUUUAAAGGGUGCGUAGGUGGCUUGGUAAGUCAGUGGUGAAAGCCCGGAGCUCAACUCCGGAACUGCCAUUGAUACUGCUUAGCUUGAAUCAGGUCGAGGUGGAUGGAAUAUUACAUGUAGCGGUGAAAUGCUUAGAUAUGUAAUAGAACACCAAUUGCGAAGGCAGUUCACUAGGCCUGUAUUGACACUGAGGCACGAAAGCGUGGGGAUCAAACAGG
rnacentral:rRNA from 1 species